rnacentral:rRNA from 1 species
UGGGGAAUUUUGGACAAUGGGCGCAAGCCUGAUCCAGCAAUGCCGCGUGAGUGAAGAAGGCCCUUGGGUUGUAAAGCUCUUUCGGUCGGGAAGAAGAAGAGGCGGCUAAUACCUGCCUUGCCAGACGGUACCGACAUAAGAAGCACCGGCUAACUACGUGCCAGCAGCCGCGGUAAUACGUAGGGUGCAAGCGUUAAUCGGAAUAACUGGGCGUAAAGGGUGUGUAGGCGGUUUUUUAAGUCUGAUGUGAAAUCCCCGGGCUCAACCUGGGAACUGCGUUGGAAACUGGAAGACUAGAGUACGUAAGAGGGGGGUGGAAUUCCACGUGUAGCAGUGAAAUGCGUAGAGAUGUGGAGGAACACCGAUGGCGAAGGCAGCCCCCUGGGACGAUACUGACGCUGAGGCACGAAAGCGUGGGGAGCAAA